rnacentral:rRNA from 1 species
UAUUUUCCUUGUGUGCCAGCCGCCGCGGUAAUACGUAUGGUGCAAGCGUUAUCCGGAUUUACUGGGUGUAAAGGGAGCGCAGGCGGUGCGGCAAGUCUGAUGUGAAAGCCCGGGGCUCAACCCCGGUACUGCAUUGGAAACUGUCGUACUAGAGUGUCGGAGGGGUAAGCGGAAUUCCUAGUGUAGCGGUGAAAUGCGUAGAUAUUAGGAGGAACACCAGUGGCGAAGGCGGCUUACUGGACGAUAACUGACGCUGAGGCUCGAAAGCGUGGGGAGCAAACAGG